GGCAGGCUUCACACACACACACACACACACACACACACACACACACACACACACACACACACACACACACACACACACACACACACACACACACACACACACACACACACACACACACACACACACACACACACACACACACACACUGAUGCAUGCGCAUGUACACACAUGCGCACACACACACAGACACACGCGCACACAUACACGGAUACAUGCGCACAUGCACACAUGCACACACACACACGGAUACAUGUGCACGUGCACACACACACACACACACACACACACACACACACACACACACACACACACACACACACACACACACACACACACACACACACACACACACACACACACACAACA